CCUACCUCCACUGUUCUACUACCUGCCUAUUCAUCUAUCCUACUGAUAGGGACCAAAUUGUUCCAUUCAGCUUCCUCUUCAAAGGAGUGAAUCUGCCUGGCAAGAACUCCUGUCUGCCCUGAGAAAAAGAGGAUUCAUCAGGAAUGGCUCAACUUUUUCUUAAGUGCGAUGAACCAAUCACCAUAAGGACACGAAAAUGAAUUUUCCAUCUCUGGAGGCUAUCCCAGUAAGAAAAGCUUGAAUAAACAAACCUCAAAGCUAUUUUACAAGCCAGUGCUGGUGUCUGAACUCUGGGAAUAAACUGGGUAUAUUUGUGCUGCA